AAUAGAUACCCUGGUAGUCCACGCCGUAAACUAUGGAUACUAGCUGUUGGAGGUAUCGACCCCUUCAGUAGCGAAGCUAACGCGUUAAGUAUCCUGCCUGUGGAGUACGGUCGCAAGACUAAAACAUAAAGGAAUUGACGGGGACCCGCACAAGUAGCGGAUGAUGUUCUUUAAUUCGAUGAUAAGCGAAGAACCUUACCUGGGUUUGACAUCCUUGGAAUUUCUGCGAAAGCAGAGAGUGCUUUAUUGAACCAAGUGACAGAUGAUGCAUGGCCGUCGUCAGCUCGUGUCGUGAGAUGUUUGGUUAAGUCCAUUAACGAGCGCAACCCUUGUGAAUAGUUGUAUUUUCUAUUCAGACUGCCCCGGUAACGGGGAGGAAGGAGGGGAUGAGGUCAGGUCUGUAUUUCUCUUACACCCAGGGCUAGAAACGUCAUACAAUGGCAAGUACAAUGCGCAGCAAAACCGCGAGGUGGAGCAAAUCGCAUCAAAACUGGUCCCAGUUCGGAUAAGAGGCUGAAACUCGCCUCUUUG
rnacentral:rRNA from 1 species